GGCGCGGCUCCUCUCGCCGGCUCCGCGCCGCCCGCUCGCCCGCCCGCCCGGCUCCGUAUGGGCAGAGCAGCAGAGGCGGCUGGGAGGCCCGGAGCGCGCUGUGCCCCGGCCGGCGGAGUCAGGAUCCGACCUUGCCGCGCGUCCCGUCGCCCGCCCAGCCGGCAGAAGCGCCCCGGCAGGUGGCACCAUGGCCUUCUCCCAGGUGCAGUGUCUGGACGACAGCCACGUCAACUGGCGCUCCAGCGAGUCCAAGCCCGAGUUCUUCUACAGCGAGGAGCAGCGGCUGGCGCUGGAGGCCCUGGUGGCGCGCGGCCCCGAGGCCUUCUACGAGGUGCUGAAGCGGGAGAACAUCCGAGACUUCCUCUCGGAGCUGGAGCUCAAGCGCAUCCUGGAGGCCAUCGAGGUGUACGACCCGGGUUCUGAGGACCCUCGGGACACGGGCCGCCCCCGGGAGCCCGAGGACGACGGCGUCGGGGACGCCGAGGAGGCCAGCGGGGCAGGUGGGGUCCCCACCGAGGCUGAGCCACUGCCCUCGCUGGAGUACUGGCCCCAGAAGUCGGACCGCUCCAUCCCGCAGCUGGACCUGGGCUGGCCGGACACCGUCGCCUACCGUGGCGUGACCCGGGCCAGCGUCUACAUGCAGCCCCCCAUCGACGGGCAGGCCCACAUCAAAGAGGUGGUGCGCAAGAUGAUCACCCAGGCGCAGAAGGUGAUAGCUGUGGUCAUGGACAUGUUCACCGACGUGGACAUCUUCAAGGACCUGCUGGAGGCCGGCUUCAAGAGGAAGGUGGCCGUGUACAUCAUCGUGGACGAGAGUAACGUCAAGUACUUCCUGCACAUGUGCGAGCGGGCCCGCAUGCACCUGGGGCACCUCAAGAAUCUCAGGGUGCGGAGCAGCGGGGGAACAGAGUUCUUCACGAGGUCGGCCACUAAGUUCAAGGGCGCCCUGGCCCAGAAGUUCAUGUUUGUGGAUGGAGACCGGGCCAUCUGUGGCUCCUACAGCUUCACGUGGUCGGCUGCAAGGACGGACCGGAAUGUGAUCUCCGUGCUGUCCGGCCAGGUGGUGGAGAUGUUCGACCGGCAGUUCCAGGAGCUGUACCUCAUGUCGCACAGCGUCAGCCUCAAGGGCAUCCCCAUGGAGAAGGAGCCUGAGCCAGAGCCCGUCAUGCUGCCCUCCGUGGUCCCACUGGCGCCCUCGGGCACCGUGGCCAAGAAGCUCGUCAACCCCAAGUACGCGCUGGUCAAGGCUAAGAGCGCUGACGAGAUUGCCAAGACCUCCUCUGAGCAGCAGGAGGUCAAGAGGCCUCGGGGGCUGCUGGGUGCGGCGCUGGCGGAGCGGCCGGGAGACUUGCCCGAGCCGCCCCCGCCCGUCCACCCGGGGCUGCUCAACCUGGAGCGGGCCAACAUGUUCGAGUACCUGCCCACGUGGGUGGAGCCGGACCCGGAGCCCGGCAGUGACAUCCUGGGCUACAUCAACAUCAUCGACCCCAAAAUCUGGAACCCCCAGCCCAGCCAGAUGAACCGCAUCAAGAUCCGAGACACGUCCCAGGCCGGCGCCCAGCUGUGGAGGCAGAGCCAGGGCUGCAGCCCCACCCCAGGGCCCCAGGCCCCUCAGGAUGGGGUCCCAGCUGAGAACGGCGUGCCCCGGGGAGACCCUGAACCACAGCCCCCUGUGCCCAAGCCCCGGACAGUCCCCGUGGCAGACCUGCUUGCCCAGGACGGUGGUGGUAUUGGCUGGGGCCUGGAGACCCCAGAAGAGGAGGUGCCCCAGAACGGGACAGACCACAGGCUGCCCAGGAUGGCUGGCCCAGGCCUUGCCCCGCCCCAGCGGCAGCUGUCCACGACUCAGGAUGACCCCGACGGCGGGGGACCAGCCAUCCCCAACGGGCUGGAUGGUGAGGAGGAGGAAAAUGACGACGACUAUGUGACCCUCAGUGACCAGGACAGCCUCUUGGGCAGCUCUGGCCUUGGCCCUGGUCCCCGGCGGCCUUCAGUGGCCUCUUCCAUGUCAGACGAGUAUUUCGAGGUGAGGGAGCACUCAGCUCCUCUCCGGAGGCGCCAUUCAGAGCAGGUGGCCAACGGGAAGGCCCAGCACCCCCACCGACAGCUCAGUGCCCCCCACAUGACCCACGGGACCUUUGGUGGACCCCUGGGUGGCUCGCCGUGGGCCCAGGGUCAGGAGCGAGAGGAGGCGGGCACUCCAAGGAGGAUGCAGGCCCCGCGCUCCACGGACAAGGAAGCACAGGUGGGUCGGGGUCCCUGUGCACUGGGGUCUCAGGAGCCCCUCCCCGAGGCCUGAGCGCCCAGAGCUGCCAUCUGCUGGGCUGCUGCAUCCUAGCUCAGACAGCUUUCCUUGUUAAGACGGGGAAACUGAUGAACGGGGCGGGGGAGGGGUAGGAACCACGCAGGGCCACACACGUGGCAGGUCAUUACCAACUCUGGGGACCUCAGCCCCAGUGUCCCAUAAAGGCAACCUAAGCCAGCUACCAGGAGCCGAAAGGAGAUGCACUCAACACACCCAAAGGUUUCAGGUUUCUGGCGUUAGAGGAAGUUGACGCCGCCCUGCCACAUGGGUGGUCCGCUCCCUAGUUUGCGGACGAGGAAAUGGCGGCGGCACACAGAUGUUCCUUUCCACCCCCAGGUAACACAGCAGUAAAUGGUCCUUGUCCGGACCUUAUGCCAAGCCUCCUCCACGUGAUCCCUUUGAUUGUGGCCCUUGGGACCACUCUCCUCCCCGCUCCCCAGGCCGGGAAACAGCUCACAUCCAUGCUUUGCCGCUCCUCCUGGCCCUUUACAGGCCAAGGGCCCAGACCCCAGGGUGCCCGGCAGCCCCGGCCCAGCUCCAGGAGCCUGUCCUACCUGGGAAGAGUGCACGGCUGAUCAUGCCCGGCAUGAUCAUCAGCACCAUGGGCAGCAUCUUGAGGUAGCUGGCCAGGAUGGAGCCCGCCUUGGCGUGGUUCAGGUCCCGGGCAGACAGUGACCGCUGCACGAUGACCUGGGGACACAAGACAGGAGGCCCAGCUCCCCUCAGGGACGCCUGUGUCAGAGUUUCUCCCUGGUGGGCCACAGGGAGUGGCAUGAGACAGACGCUGUCCCACUAGCCUCAGACCCACCCGAGACCACCACAGCGCAAGCCUGACGGUUCCCACCAGAAGCAGAGCUCUUCCCGAUUGACCGAGCACCGGGGGCCAAGGUAGUCUCGUUCCAGGCACUCAGUCUCCCCGUCUGUCAAGUAGGGAAGGUGCGGGUCCUGCCUGGCCUGCCGCCCAGCAGUUGUCAGGGCUGGAGGAGACUCUAGGUGGGACGUGUCAGGGACUACCCCCCAACCCCCACCGAUCUCCUGCCCCCUCACGAGAGUAGUGCUUAGCCAGUGUGCGUGUGCACAUGCCAGGAGCAAACACUGGCACCAGCUGUGUUCUGUGUCACUCGCAGAGGCCGGGAGCUUUCAGACCUGGGUUUGGAAAGCUUGCAGUUCAGUAGUAGAGGGAUGCCAGAAGUUGCCUGAGGGAAACUCCCCAUGUAGCUUAGGCAGAUCCUAACUGGGCCUCAGUUUCCAGAUCUGCAGAAUGGGAGGAGGAGGAAGGGUGAUUGGAACUGAUGGCAUCGGAGAUCUCUCUCAACUCUGACAUGAUUCUACUUUAAAAAAAAAACUAACUUUUUUAGAACAACUUUACUGAGGUAUAAAUCACAUGCCCACAGUUCAGCGGUUUUUAGUAUGCUCACAGAGUUGUGCAAUCCAUCACUUCUAAAUGUAAGUGUUUUUCCUUGGCUGUUCUGCAGUUUAAAUCACCACUUGCAAUUCAGAAGUAGGAAUUACCCGUGAUUUUAACUUAUUUUCCCAACGUGUUAGUUUAACGGGCAGCUCCCAGCAUCUCCCUCUGAGCCGUGGCUCUUGGGGGAACAUAAUCCAGGGCACCUGGGCGGCAGCAUUGGGUAUGCAGGACAAGCUGAGUUCAGUCCUGUUUCUCCACCGGCAUCCCGUGACUUGGGACAAGUCCUUGCCUCACUCUGGGCCUCAGUUUCCCUGUCUGGACAGUGAGGGGGUUGGACUCGGUUCUGUGUGGAUCCUUCUCCUCUGAUGUCCUGGGAUUGCAAGAGCCCGGGCUGCACUCCUCAGAGGAGAGAGGAAGCGUUUCCCUAAACUCUGCACGUUGUGUCCCAUUCCGUCAUUCCAGGCUCACAGUGGCCAGCCCUGGGAGGCAGGCGGGACAGUGGCUGUCACCCAUCCUGCAGGUGGGGAUGCUGAGGCUCUGUGCCCCAGCAGAGCAGGUGUCAGGCAGCAGGGCUGGGCCUUCCCCUGUGGUGUCAGCGGGCUGCUGCUCCCCAGCGCCUCUCAGCAUGGGCCUGGCGUGGCCCUGCCAGAGGCCGUGCUCGCCGCUUCACCUCCCUGAACUGCUGUGUCCUCGUCUGCAAAGUGGGUACUGCCACCGACCUGCAAGGUUGCUGCAACGACUGAGUGAGGCCGCUGUGUAGACAGCCAAGCCCGUGCCUGGCUGGUCGCGACUUCCCUGAGUUUAGGCUUCCCUCAGGGUGCCACCUCAGGGUCAGCCACGGCUUGGUGCUGGCCCAGGAGCAUUUGGACCCUGGCUCCACCCUUCAGAGAGGUCCUGAACUGGCCUGGCUGUCCGUCUGCUCGUCUGUGAGAUGGGGACAAGAACCUUCCAGGGGUGAGGUGAGGUGAUGGGUACCACCCAGCAUUCCUGGCCUGCGUCCGAAGCCCGAGAGCUUGUGGUCGUUGUUAAGACUGACGCAGCUGCUGCCGUCUUAAGGAAGACCCUCCGUCUGGAGCUGCAGCAGCAGGUGACAGAAGGGCCAAAAGUUCCACUAUUAUGGAGUUCCUGCCUCGGGGACCAAGG